rnacentral:rRNA from 1 species
AUACGAAAGGUGCAAGCGUUGUUCGGAUUUACUGGGCGUAAAGAGAGUGUAGGUGGUUUAUUAAGUCGGAUGUGAAAUCCCGGGGCUCAACCUCGGAACUGCAUUCGAUACUGAUAGGCUAGAGUUUGGGAGGGGUAAGCGGAAUUCCGUGUGUAGCAGUGAAAUGCGUAGAUAUACGGAGUAACACCUGAGGCGAAGGCGGCUUACUGGACCAAUACUGACACUGAGACUCGAAAGCGUGGGUAGCAAACAGGAUUAGAAACCCUAGUAGUCC